CAGCCGCCACGGGAAUACGAAGGGGGCUAGCGUUGUUCGGAUUUACUGGGCGUAAAGCGCACGUAGGCGGAUCGAUCAGUCAGGGGUGAAAUCCCAGAGCUCAACUCUGGAACUGCCUUUGAUACUGUCGAUCUGGAGUAUGGAAGAGGUGAGUGGAAUUCCGAGCGUAGAGGUGAAAUUCGUAGAUAUUCGGAGGAACACCAGUGGCGAAGGCGGCUCACUGGUCCAUUACUGACGCUGAGGUGCGAAAGCGUGGGGAGCAAACAGGAUUAGAUACCCCAGUAGUCCCUGUCUCUUAUAC
rnacentral:rRNA from 1 species